GACGAACCGAGCGAACGUUGUUCGGAAUCACUGGGCUUAAAGGGCGCGUAGGCGGGCUGCCGCGUCCGGGGUGAAAUCCCACGGCUCAACCGUGGAACUGCCCCGGAUACGGGCGGCCUCGAGGGGGGUAGGGGCAUCUGGAACUGUGAGUGGAGCGGUGAAAUUCGUAGAUAUUCGCAAGAACACCAGUGGCGAAGGCGGCUCACUGGCCCGGUACUGACGCUGAGGUGCGAAAGCGUGGGGAGCAAACAGG
rnacentral:rRNA from 1 species